UUCAAUUAAAAAAAAUAGCGCAGAAUAUUGAGUUGAAAGCUGUCCCGCGUCGAUUGUCUUCUUCCCGUCUUCAAAUCUAGUUUACUCCACGAUCCCGAGCUUUGGCGGUCUUGUGUGGCAUGAGGAGCAAGUCAGUCAGAGAGGAUCGGACGGGUCGGAACUAUGCUCAAACGUCGUAGACCUUCCUGUUCUGUUCGCCAUGAAUCUAAGUCGAUCGAGGUGUGGGCUGUGUGCCUUGCGUGUUUCGUCACCUCUUGUGGAGUCUCGGCAGAUGGGACCGGUGUUCUGGCGAAGACUUCAUCUUCAUGCAGCAUAGAAGAGCUACAGCGGUGGAGGACAAUGGCCAUCUCGGUCACCUGUAUCGCAGUUGUCAGUAUAUUGGGGAAUCUCGCUGUGCUGCAUAAGCUGCACCUCGCCCAAGUCGAACGUAGGAAGUUUGACCGGUUGCUUGGAGAAAUUAUACAGCAACCAAAGA